rnacentral:rRNA from 1 species
AGUUUAGACUCGCGGCACCGAGCUCAGUAACACGUGGCCAAACUACCCUGUAGAGACGUAUAACCUCGGGAAACUGAGGCUAAUCCGUCAUACCGGUUGAACGGUUGAACUCCAUCAACCCCGAAAUGCCCCGGCGCUACAGGAUGUGGCUGCGGCCGAUUAGGUUGACGGUGGGGUAACGGCCCACCGUGCCAAUAAUCGGAACAGGUUGUGAGAGCAAGAACCUGGAGACGGCAUCUGAGACAAGAUGCCGGGCCCUACGGGGCGCAGCAGGCGCGAAACCUUUACACUGCACGCACGUGCGAUAAGGGGACUCCGAGUGCGAGGGCAUAUCGUCCUCGCUUUUGUGUACCGUAGGGUGGUACACGAACAAGGGCUGGGCAAGACCGGUGCCAGCCGCCGCGGU